rnacentral:tRNA from 1 species
GUGGGUAUAGUUCAUUGGUAGAGCCCAUGCUUAGCAUGCUUGAGGACCUUGGUUCAAUUCCCAGUACCUCCA